rnacentral:rRNA from 1 species
GACGAACGCUGGCGGCGUGCCUAAUACAUGCAAGUAGAACGCACAGUUUAUACCGUAGCUUGCUACACCAUAGACUGUGAGUUGCGAACGGGUGAGUAACGCGUAGGUAACCUGCCUGGUAGCGGGGGAUAACUAUUGGAAACGAUAGCUAAUACCGCAUAAUAUUGAUUAUUGCAUGAUAAUUGAUUGAAAGAUGCUAUUGCAUCACUACCAGAUGGACCUGCGUUGUAUUAGCUAGUAGGUGAGGUAACGGCUCACCUAGGCGACGAUACAUAGCCGACCUGAGAGGGUGAUCGGCCACCCUGGGACUGAGACACGGCCCAGACUCCUACGGGAGGCAGCAGUAGGGAAUCUUCGGCAAUGGACGAAAGUCUGACCGAGCAACGCCGCGUGAGUGAAGAAGGUUUUCGGAUCGUAAAGCUCUGUUGUAAGAGAAGAACGGGUGUGAGAGUGGAAAGUUCACACUGUGACGGUAGCUUACCAGAAAGGGACGGCUAACUACGUG